AUACUUACCUGGCAGGGGACAUUCCAUGAUCGUGAAGGUGGUUUUCUGAGUGAUGUUCAUCCAUUGCACUCGGGGUGUGCUGACCCCUGCAAUUUUCCCAAAUUUGGGGAACUCAACUGCACGACUUGUGGUAGUGGAGGAGUAUGUUCACGCCUUCCCCUC